CUUAUACUUCCUCCGUCCGAAAAUACUUGUUAUCAAAAUGAAUAAAAGGGGAUGUAUCUAGAUGUAUUUUAGUUCUAGAUACAUUCUUUUUUAUUCAUUUUGAUGACAAAUAUUUUCGGACGGAGGGAAUAUUAG
rnacentral:pre_miRNA from 1 species